GAUUAAUUCGAUGCAACGCGAAGAACCUUACCAAGGCUUGACAUACACCGGAAACUUCCAGAGAUGGUUGCCCCGCAAGGUCGGUGUACAGGUGGUGCAUGGUUGUCGUCAGCUCGUGUCGUGAGAUGUUGGGUUAAGUCCCGCAACGAGCGCAACCCUCGUCUUAUGUUGCCAGCACGUCAUGGUGGGGACUCAUAAGAGACUGCCGGGGUCAACUCGGAGGAAGGUGGGGAUGACGUCAAAUCAUCAUGCCCCUUAUGUCUUGGGCUUCACGCAUGCUACAAUGGCCGGUACAAAGGGCUGCGAUACCGCGAGGUGGAGCGAAUCCCAAAAAGCCGGUCUCAGUUCGGAUUGGGGUCUGCAACUCGACCCCAUGAAGUCGGAGUCGCUAGUAAUCGCAGAUCAGCAACGCUGCGGUGAAUACGUUCCCGGGCCUUGUACACACCGCCCGUCAAGUCACGAAAGUCGGUAACACCCGAAGCCGGUGGCC
rnacentral:rRNA from 2 species